UGAGGUGAAGGAACAUAAGGAUGUGCUCUGACAUGCGCUGUGAGGUGAAGGAACAGAAGGAUGUGCUCUGACAUGCGCUGUGAGGUGAAGGAACAUAAGGAUGUGCUCUGACAUGCGCUGUGAGGUGAAGGAACAGAAGGAUGUGCUCUGACAUGCGCUGUGAGGUGAAGGAACAUAAGGAUGUGCUCUGACAUGCGCUGUGAGGUGAAGGAACAUAAGGAUGUGCUCUGACAUGCGCUGUGAGGUGAAGGAACAUAAGGAUGUGCUCUGACACGCGCUGUGAGGUGAAGGAACAUAAGGAUGUGCUCUGACACGCGCUGUGAGGUGAAGGAACAUAAGGAUGUGCUCUGACAUGCGCUGUGAGGUGAAGGAACAUAAGGAUGUGCUCUGACAUGCGCUGUGAGGUGAAGGAACAUAAGGAUGUGCUCUGACAUGCGCUGUGAGGUGAAGGAACAUAAGGAUGUGCUCUGACAUGCGCUGUGAGGUGAAGGAACAUAAGGAUGUGCUCUGACAUGCGCUGUGAGGUGAAGGAACAUAAGGAUGUGCUCUGACAUGCGCUGUGAGGUGAAGGAACAUAAGGAUGUGCUCUGACAUGCGCUGUGAGGUGAAGGAACAGAAGGAUGUGCUCUGACAUGCGCUGUGAGGUGAAGGAACAUAAGGAUGUGCUCUGACAUGCGCUGUGAGGUGAAGGAACAGAAGGAUGUGCUCUGACAUGCGCUGUGAGGUGAAGGAACAUAAGGAUGUGCUCUGACAU